AGAGGGUCCUUGGGCGAGUUCUCCAGCCGCUCCGAAGGCAUCCUGACAUCUCUUCCCCGGUGUCAGGCGGCCUCGGCGCGGAGGGGGAGCUGGAUCAAGGAUCCUCUCCGG
rfam:Nesterenkonia sp. PF2B19 NODE_5_length_113305_cov_36.8098, whole genome shotgun sequence.